UUAAACUGAAGAGUUUGAUCAUGGCUCAGAUUGAACGCUGGCGGCAGGCUUAACACAUGCAAGUCGAGCGGUAACAGGUCUAGCUU
rnacentral:rRNA from 1 species